AGCGAACGCUGGCGGCAGGCCUAACACAUGCAAGUCGAACGAAGCCUUCGGGCUUAGUGGCGGACGGGUGAGUAACACGUGGGAACGUACCUUUUGGUUCGGAACAACGCAGAGAAAUUUGCGCUAAUACCGAAUGAGCCCUUAGGGGGAAAGAUUUAUCGCCGAAAGAUCGGCCCGCGUUGGAUUAGGUAGUUGGUGUGGUAAAGGCGCACCAAGCCUACGAUCCAUAGCUGGUCUGAGAGGAUGAUCAGCCACACUGGGACUGAGACACGGCCCAGACUCCUACGGGAGGCAGCAGUGGGGAAUCUUGCGCAAUGGGCGAAAGCCUGACGCAGCCAUGCCGCGUGAAUGAUGAAGGUCUUAGGAUUGUAAAAUUCUUUUACCAGGGACGAUAAUGACGGUACCUGGAGAAAAAGCCCCGGCUAACUUCGUGCCAGCCGCCGCCGUAACAC
rnacentral:rRNA from 1 species